GAAAACAGAGAGGAAGAAGAAGAGAAUGAGGAGGGGAAAAGAGAGAGGAAGAAGAGAAUGAGGAGGGGAAAAGAGAGAAGAAGAAGAGAGUGCGGAGGGGGAAAGAGAGAGGAAGAAGAAGAGAAUGAGGAGGGGAAAAGAGAGAGGAAGAAGAAGAGAAUGAGGAGGGGAAAAGAGAGAGGAAGAAGAAGAGAAUGAGGAGGGGAAAAGAGAGAGGAAGAAGACGAGAAUGAGGAGGGGAAAAGAGAGAGGAAGAAGACGAGAAUGAGGAGGGGAAAAGAGAGAGGAGGAGGAAGAGAAUGAGGAGGGGAAAAGAAAGAGGAAGAAGAAGAGAAUGAGGAGGGGGAAAAGAGAGAGGAAGAAGAGAAUGAUGAGGGGAAAAGAGAGAGGAAGAAGAGAGUGAGGAGGAGGAAAAGAGAGAGGAAGAAGAAGAAUGGGGAGGGGGAAAAGAGAGAGGAGGAAGAGAAUGAUGAGGGGGAAA
ensembl:lncRNA